GGUAGCUACCGAAUAUUUUUCCUUUUCCCGAAUUCCUUUUGGCGGUGUGAUCUGUACAUCAUCUGCAAAUUCGAUUCAGUUAGUGUUAGCUUCCAAUUUUUUUGCCUUUUCCCGAAUUCCUUUUGGUAGUGUGUACAUCCUCUGCAAAGUAGAUUCAGUUAGUGUUAAUUACCUAGGCAGCUUCAAGUUCAGAGUGAAAUCCAUUAAUGGAUGAUUUUAGACACAGAGGUGAACCCUUGUUUCACUUACUAGGAUGACUUUGCAAACUGCCAAUUGAAACAGAGGUGAACCCUUGUUUCAACUGUCUGAAGACCACAGAUGGCACAUGACUAAGAUUGCUCUUGUAUUCAGUCAGUCUAUUAGUGGUGACCAGAAGAAAAAUUGAUGCUUCCCUUGACAGCAAGAUUUGCUUUUGUUUUUUUUCAUUUAACAGGAGGGGUUUCAUGACUGCAAGAGUACAUAAUUUUAUAUGCCUGCGAAGUAGGAAAGUCUCCAGGUGAACAAAAUUCAGUUUAUAUGUCCAGAGAUCUUGUGUCAUCAGCACAGAAAUACUGAAUUGCCAAGAGCUGGAGAUCAUUGAACUGGGAGUAGGCCUGCUCGCUGCUCAGACAGAGGCAAUUGGAAAUAAUAUCCAGAGAGGUCUCCACUAUCCAGUACUAUCUUUGUAGAUAAAUGAGGAUUCUAUAGAACAAAGAAGAACAACUCAGGCCACUGCUGGGAACGAAUAAGGCCACUAUGGAGUAUCGACAUGACCAGGCUUGUUGCAGCGAACACACGAGUCCAGGCCUGCGUCCCACACUCGUAUCUGCUGUGCGUGAUCCGGUGGAACCCUUGUUCCCCCUGCUGUGCGGUGUGUAUGGACAGCAGCAUCAGCAUUAUGCAGAGCCGAGAAAUAUUUUGAAAGCAUGGUAUAACUAGAAGCACACACACACACUCUGCAGAAGAAGAAUAGAGCCGAGCCCCUUGUCGAAUGACCGAUCGACGCCUGUUGUGUCAGCGGUUUUGGGAGCAACCUGCACAGAUGCACACACUUGCUUCACAUUCAAGCUGAACCAUUCAAGUUGACGUUUGUCAUUGCCCGAUGAUCCAUGCAAGCUCAAGGUACUAUGUUGCCUUCGCUGAUGUGUAUGUAAUGUAGCGACUGACUGAUGAUAGCUGUCAGAGUGUGAGAUCAAUUCCUUUUUUUUAGAUAGAUAGAUGCCGAGAAAUCACGGCAGUUUUGCAUUUGUACUGGAAAACCAGUCACGGCAAAAUAUGUUCUGUUAGCCUGUUACUCAAUUCAGGGAGAAGAACAAUACUAGUUACAAAAUCUAUAUGUUCUGUGA